rnacentral:rRNA from 1 species
UUAGUUGGUGGAGUGAUCUGUCUGGUUAAUUCCGAUAACGAACGAGACUCUCCCCUGCUAACUAGUCGGUUGGAUCUUGAUCAGCGGGUUGCGUGCCGAGUAACUCUCGCUGUGCAUGUGGUGCGUUUCGUUCCUCACGGUUCGUUGCGUGCUGUUGUGUGGCGUUGGAUGCCUUGGAUCACACUGCACCCCAAGUCCGCCGCUUAUGCUAUAACUCUUCUUAGAGGGAUUCACGGCACUGAAGCCGUAAGAGACUGAGAGCAAUAACAGGUCUGUGAUGCCCUUAGAUGCUCUGGGCCGCACGCGCGCUACAAUGCCGGGCACAGCAGGUGUUUCUCCUGCUCCGACAGGAGCGGGUAACCCUCUGAAAGCCAGUGUUCUUGCAAGUGCUUCCUCCCUCGUGGAGUUGCACAGAGGCGUGCUUGGGCCUGGGACUUGCAAUUCUUUCCCACCAACGAGGAAUGCCUAGUAGCGGCGGGUCACUGAGCCCGCCGUGACUCAGUCCCUGCCCUUUGUACACACCGCCCGUCGCUACUACCGAUUGGGUGUACCAGUGAGAGCCUUGGACUGGCGUCCGUUGUUGCUCGCAAGAGUGACAAGCGGGUCCGACGGAAAGAGGUCCGAA